rnacentral:rRNA from 1 species
CUGGCUCAGGAUGAAUGCUAGCUACAGGCUUAACACAUGCAAGUCGAGGGGUAGCAGGGUAGCAAUACCGCUGACGACCGGCGCACGGGUGAGUAACACGUAUCCAACCUUCCCAUAACUCAGGGAUAGCCUUUCGAAAGAAAGAUUAAUACCUGAUAGUACUUUUUCAAGGCAUCUUGAGAAAGUUAAAGAUUUAUUGGUUAUGGAUGGGGAUGCGUUCCAUUAGAUAGUUGGUGAGGUAACGGCUCACCAAGUCUUCGAUGGAUAGGGGUUCUGAGAGGAAGGUCCCCACAUUGGUACUGAGACACGGACCAAACUCCUACGGGAGGCAGCAGUGAGGAAUAUUGGUCAAUGGGCGAGAGCCUGAACCAGCCAAGCAGCGUGAAGGAAUGAAGGUCCUAUGGAUUGUAAACUUCUUUUAUAGUAGAAUAAAGUGAUCCACGUGUGGAUUUUUGUAUGUAUACUAUGAAUAAGGAUCGGCUAACUCCGUGCCAGCCGCCGC